AUACCGGGCCUUUUUGGGCUUGGUAAUUGGAAUGAGGGAGAGUUAAACGGACCAUCGAGUAUCCAUUGGAGGGCAAGUCUGGUGCCAGCAGCUGCGGUAAUACCAGCUCCAAUAGCGUAUAUUAAAGUUGUUGCAGUUAAAAAGCUCGUAGUUGGACUUGUGUGCGCUGUCCGCGGGUGGCCUGCGCCCAAAAGGGCGUUUCGGUUCGGCCCCGGUGGCGCCUUGAAAUCUGCAGCUGGGGGGACGUUGGCCUUAACUGGUCGGCGACCGCACGCCGGCUGCUCGGUUACUGUGAAAAAUUAGAGUGUUCAAGGCAGGCAUUGGGUGCAAUUGAAUACAUUAGCAUGGAAUAAUAAAAUAUGGCUCCUGCCGUAUUUUGUUGGUUUUGACUGGUGGGAGUAAUGAUUGAUAGGGACGGUUGGGGGUGCUAGUAUUGAGCGGCCAGAGGUGAAAUUCAUGGAUUCGCUCAAGACUAACUUAUGCGAAAGCAUUCACCAAGGACGUCCUCUUUAAUCAAGGACGAAAGUUGGGGGAUCGAAGACGAUCAGAUACCGUCGUAGUCUCAACCAUAAACUAUGUCGACUUGGGAUCGGCGGUAGUUUUUUCAUUAAGACACUGUCGGGACCACGGGAGAAAUCAAAGUGUCUGGACUCUGGGGGAAGUAUGGUCGCAAGGCUGAAACUUGAAGGAAUUGACGGAAGGGCACCACCAGGAGUGGAGCCAGCGGCUUAAUUUGACCCAACACGGGGAAACUUACCAGGUCCAGAGAUGUAGAGGAUUGACAGAUUGAAGCUCUUUCUUGAUCACUUCGGUGGUGGUGCAUGGCCGCUCUUAGUUGGUGGAGUGAUUUGUCUGGUUAAUUCCGUUAACGAACGAGACCUCAGCCUGCUAGUGUAGUCGGCUGGAUUGCCUUUGGCGAUCCGUGAUUUCGACUUCUUAGAGGGACAAUCGACGCGCAGUCGAUGGAAGUUUGAGGCAAUAACAGGUCUGUGAUGCCCUUAGAUGUUCUGGGCCGCACGCGCGCUACACUGCUGGGCUCAGCGAGCUUUACUUGGCCGAGAGGCCCGGUUAAUCUUGUGAAAUCCCAGCGUGCUUGGGCUCGCCUCCUGCAACUGGAGGCGCCAACGAGGAAUUCCUAGUAGACGCAGGUCAUCAACCUGCAUCGAUUACGUCCCUGCCCUUUGUACACACCGCCCGUCGUUCCAUAAGAGUGAGGCAUCCGGUGAAUUCUCGGGAGAGCCUGGGCGUGGCCAGCAAUGGUCUGCUCGGGUUUGAACUUGCAUAAACUUGGUGCCUAUGAUUAGGG
rnacentral:rRNA from 1 species